GACGAACGCUGGCGGCGUGCUUAACACAUGCAAGUCGAACGCUGAAGCUUGGUGCUUGCACUGGGUGGAUGAGUGGCGAACGGGUGAGUAAUACGUGAGUAACCUGCCCUUGACUCUUGGAUAAGCCUGGGAAACUGGGUCUAAUACUGGAUACGACAUGUCACCGCAUGGUGGUGUGUGGAAAGGGUUUUACUGGUUUUGGAUGGGCUCACGGCCUAUCAGCUUGUUGGUGGGGUAAUGGCUCACCAAGGCGACGACGGGUAGCCGGCCUGAGAGGGUGACCGGCCACACUGGGACUGAGACACGGCCCAGACUCCUACGGGAGGCAGCAGUGGGGAAUAUUGCACAAUGGGCGGAAGCCUGAUGCAGCGACGCCGCGUGAGGGAUGACGGCCUUCGGGUUGUAAACCUCUUUCAGCACGGAAGAAGCGAAAGUGACGGUACGUGCAGAAGAAGCGCCGGCUAACUACGUG
rnacentral:rRNA from 1 species